rnacentral:lncRNA from 1 species
CGAUUGAACCGAAUGGUAUUUGUUGACUUCUGAUUAUCGGAUUUAUGAUAUUGGUACCGACUGGAUUGGGAGAGGGAUACACAAGGCCUAGACCCGGAGGCCGCACCACUCUUGACGAAUCCGGAUCGGGUAGGCAGGACUCGACCCGGCUCAAUAAUUCGGAUUACGCGUAGUUCUCCACCCUCUUAUCUAUUCUCGCAGCCGCCUGCCUCUUCCUUAUCUCGAACACUCCUCUCCUUCUCUUGUAGGCUCUUCUCUCCGAUAUUCCUCUCCGGCGAGUUCGGAGACUACAAUGAUGAUGACGAUUCCUCCCAGAACCGACUUCAAGGAGAGUGACGAUCUCCUCAGUGAUUCAUCUCCUGCAACAAAUAGGUAGCAAUUCCCACCUUCUCCUCCUUUCUGCUUGAUUUACAUCUCGAUCUCCUCCCUCAGCUCUAUCCUAACUCUCAUCUCACUUUUUCUGGUCGCAGAGUUGGGAAAUCAAGAGGGUUCUAAACAUCGACCCAGGUUAGAUUGUUUCUUCUAAGAUUCAUUUUCUACUACCUCUUCUGUGUAGACGUCCUAGGUAUAUUCUGACUUGGCUCAUAUGGCUAGGUUCGUGCUAAGGAUGGGCGUGAUGAAUUAAGACUCAAACAGAGGGGAACCGGUCAAGAUUUAAAGCAAGAAUACUUACCGCAAUGGAUCUUAUGUUUAGUUAAAUGCCUAGGUCGCUUCGUGAUUUCGUUAUGGUUUUUGCGUUCGACUAGGGGAUGUAGUAAUGGACAAGGGUAUAGGAGCAAGGGUAGCCUAAAAUUAUUUUUGUGGAAAGAGUAGCACGAAAAAAAUGGUUAAAAUUCUUGAAAUUAUUUUUUGUAUUCCGUUCCCUGAAAAACAGUUAGAAUUCUUUGGAGAUAAUUUUGGUAUUCCGUUUAUAGCCCGGAAAAAUGACAAAAAUCAAUUUAACGUUUGGAGACAAGAUAAAAACGCUUUAUAGGACGAUCCUAUCUUAGGGUUAGGCGUAAAAUCUUUGUCGAUUAAUUGUAAUCAUGUCAUGAUAAUGGGUAAUAAUGGUAACAUGCAUGAUAUAAAGUUAAAACCUUUUAUAUGACUUUUGAAAGUAAGGGUCAGAAAACUUCAAUGAUAAUUUUUGGCGGAAGCGUUAAGUGUAUGCUGCUCGACUCAGCUCUAUAGAUGAAUAGUGGUGGGGCCUUAGAUUUUUGGGAAAGUUUGACCCGCUCUGUCUGAGAGGUAGGAACAACCUUUGCUUCAUUGCUCAAAGUUGAUUCGAAAGUCCGUUCAUCCUCUUUGAAUACUGCCGCCGAUGGCUCUUUUUGAGAUAUCGGCUUCCACGAGAAUAUUUUCCUUGCGUUGAUCGGUCGGUAACUUUAGAGAUAUUAAUGGCUGAGUCGAACCCUAAUCAAGACUGGCAAUUCAGGCUAUGUGAUUACAAGGUUCCAGCUCGACAGCAAGUGAUGACUCUUGGGUCGAGAUUUCGACGCAUUUUCUUGGAGUGUUAAGAAUGGGAGGUAGAUCCUUGUUAUCCUUUUCUUUUUUCUUUUCCUGUUUCUUUUUUGAUAACUCAUAUUGAUGGCUUCUUACAUGAACCAAUCCUCAAUAGUACAAUGAGGGUUGCUAAUUCUGUGAGUGGAUUGAGCUUUGCGAUGGGGAGAAGUUUGACAAUGACUCCCUUAAAUCAGGCACCUUUCUCGAAGGUUGCCUAAUUGGUGCCAAGGCUUAAAGUGUGAAACUAACCAUGAUUGUUGAUGAGCUCCAUAAGAGGACAGGCGAUAUUUUCCGUGUCAUGAGGAUAGCCAAUAUUCUGCUUCAACCGCAGGCCAUCCCCGACCUCCCUUAGAUCGUACUUAUGCCCCCAAAAGGCUAACGAUUGGUUAGACUCGGGAGAUUAUUUCCAUACAACACUUGGGAUAACCAUCCAUGUUGGACCCACGGGUCCGCUUUGAGUUCAUUUCCCCAUAAUUGCAAGACCUUGUCGUCGGGGUGCCCCAACACUUCGGUUGUAAGCUUUCUUUUUGUGGUCGG